UACGUAGGGUGCGAGCGUUGUCCGGAAUUACUGGGCGUAAAGAGCUCGUAGGUGGUUUGUCGCGUUGUCCGUGAAAACUCACAGCUUAACUGUGGGCGUGCGGGCGAUACGGGCAGACUGGAGUACUGCAGGGGAGACUGGAAUUCCUGGUGUAGCGGUGGAAUGCGCAGAUAUCAGGAGGAACACCGGUGGCGAAGGCGGGUCUCUGGGCAACAACUGACGCUGAGGAGCGAAAGCGUGGGGAGCAAACAGG
rnacentral:rRNA from 1 species